rnacentral:lncRNA from 1 species
CUCUUGUUUGUAUUUAGAUUCUCCUUUAAAUUAUCAUAUUUUUAUACAAAUGUAAUAAUCGGAAAUGUCAAGAUUAAAUGCAAAUUUUAAAGUGAAAGUGAAGGGGAAAAUUAUAUUUUAUAUCAACAGAUAAGUUCUAUUUGAAUACCAUGUAUAAUUUUACUUGGAGGCAUAUUUUGUAAUAUUAUGCUUUUUAUAAAAAGUGCCAAAAGUUUAUUAGAAUUAACAGUUAUAUUCAAGAUAUACCUUAUUACAUAUCUGAGUUUCAUUAUGCUGACUAGUUAACCAUAACAAAUACAAAUUCAGGUUGAAAACUAUUAACCCUUAUCAUGUUGGACAGGACUUAUUCUGCCUUUGCAACCAGUGUAGAUCAAGAUCAGCCUGCACAUCCAUGCAGUCUGAUCAUGAUCUGCACUGUUCGCCAAACAGUAUUAUUUGGUAUGCACCCCUUUAAAUAGUUAAUGGCACUGACGAAACUGAAAGAUGGGCUAGUUCAUUAUAGAAAUUUAGCAGGGUAAGAAUUAAACAGUUUCGUUUUUGAGAUGAAAGCUGAAGUAGAUAAAUAUUUUUUUUAUUUUACAAAAGAGAAGGUGUGUAUGUGGGAUUGAGAUUAUUCACCAUUCAAGCUACUUUCCACAGGACAGCUAAAUUUCAUUACAGAAAAAAAUUGUUCUUCUUAUACAUGGUCAAGAAAUUUUGUUUUCAAUAGUGAAGCAGUGAAAAUUGUUACUUUCAAAGAUUUCGAUAGAAAAUACCCCUAAACCACUAACUGCCAUUCAUGACACUUAAGCAUUUAUAAUUUGAGCCGCACCAUGUGAAAAUCUACAUAGUGGCUUUGCGACCAGCAUGGAUCCAGACCAGCCUGUGCAUCCAUGCAGUCUGGUCAGGAUCCAUGCUGUUCGCUUUCAAAGCAUAUUGCAAUUAGAGAAACCAUUAGCGAACAGCAUGGAUCCUGAUCAGACUGCGGAUGCACAGGCUGGUCUGGAUCCAUGCUGGUCGCAAAGCCGCUAUGUUGGUUUUCUCAUUGCAUGGCUCAUUUGUUUCUUGAUGUAAACUUGUCAAGUCAUGAGAAACCCAGAAACAAUUAACGAUUAUGUGGGAAAAUAUAAACACCUUGUAAAACAAAAAUACACAAGCUCAGACAUCUUUAAUUUCAGUAGUUUCAUGUGCAAAUGAUAUUUGGCUGUUUCAUGUCUUGCUUGACAGCAAAAAUGUCUUGUAAACACUUACAUUGAAACAAAUGACUUGCUACACUUUUCAUACGUGGACAUUUUUGUUCUGUGUUUCACACCAUGAUUGUAUGACAUUAAAGCUACCCCUUCUUUUAGUAGGGGCAUUCCAAAGACCAUUUUGAAGAAGUUCCUAGUUUACUUUUAUUUUAAAAUUCUUCCUCCCAAAUAACUGGAGCGCUAAAUCAAGUUCCACCAAAGGGAGUAUAGCGACUGAUCAUAGUUUUAUAUGUAGUAAGAAAUAUCUGGUGAAAUACUCAAGUGUGCAUUUGAAUUGAAUGUAUUUGACAGUACACACUGUAGAAAAAGAAAAUCUACUUAUUUUUUGUAUGUGUUACAUUUAGAUACUAAAAACAGAUGUAACCCCUAUGCCAUUUGUACUGGAGCAACAUCAGUUGUAUUAGUGGAAGUAGUACUUAUGACUUUGGCUGAAGUCCCAUUUAAUGAAUAUAACAAAAUUUAGUCAUUUGAAGCCUCUUUGCAAACUUUGCUGAAAAAUAUCUAUAAAUAACACCAUGUAAGGCUAAUUUGGCAGAUAGCCUUAAAAAUUUUAAAAUAAAACAAAAUCUUUCCAGCUUAUGAGAAAACAUGUUGUGAACUACUUUCUGCAAAAUUUUAUUUGGGGAUAUUUUUCUGGGAUCUUAAAAAGAAUCUGCCUGGCUAAAUUAUGUUAUUCACAGACUGGCUAGUCACACAAACCUCCUUGCACAAAAAGUUUUUUUGGGGGUGAUAGGUAUUGACGUCAUUUAUUAAUGUAAUAUUCAGAACUAUCAGAUUUCUAAAGUGUUAGUGAAUCUGUGAACACCUCACAUUGAUUUACAUCUGUGAACACCUCAUUGAUUUACAUCUGUGAAUACCUCGUAUUGAUUUACAUAUGUGAACACCUCACAUUGCUUUACAUCUGUGAACAACUCACAUUGAUUUAUAUCUGUGAACACCUCCAAUUGAUUUACCUCAUAUAAUGCAGUUCAGAAUUAUUUUAACUUCAAUUCAGAUAUCCCAUCAAAAUCUGCUGAUCAGACUUGUUGUUCCUGUCAUGUUUUUAGCACCCUGUUAUCAGCAUUGUGUUGCUGUAAUCCUGUUGUUAACAUCAUGUUAUUCUAAUUCUGUUAUCAUCAUGUAGCCCCAUCCUCUUGAUAUAUCUUGAUAUUCACAACUUCUAUUGUUACAUAUACAAAUGUAUAUAUAUUGAUGAAGGACCAGCUUCAUGUCCUAUACCAGCUUUUGUGUUUAAAUUUCAUGAGAAAUGUAUGUUUUAAUCAUGUAUAAUUACUUUAAAUGUAAUAACAAGAGUGAGGUGAUGAAUUGUAAUUCCAUAUAGAAAAUGUUGUGGCAAAAGAUAGCUAAAUUGUUCAUGAUGGUUAAUUGUAAUGAAUGCUCUAUUAAAUCUGUUUGUAUCGUCUUUACCAGUAGGUGUUUUAGUUUACCUCCAUAAUAAGAGGGCCACAAUCAGUUGUUUUUGAUACAUGACAAUAUUUAUAUAAUUGAAAUAAAUGAGCUGUGAUUUGC